GAUGAACGCUAGCUACAGGCUUAACACAUGCAAGUCGAGGGGAAACGACAUCGAAAGCUUGCUUUUGAUGGGCGGCGACCGGCGCACGGGAGAGUAACGCGUAUCCAACCUGCCCAUCACUUGGGGAUAACCUUGCGAAAGUAAGACUAAUACCCAAUGAUAUCUCUAGAAGACAUCUGAAAGAGAUUAAAGAUUUAUCGGUGAUGGAUGGGGAUGCGUCUGAUUAGCUUGUUGGCGGGGUAACGGCCCACCAAGGCAACGAUCAGUAGGGGUUCUGAGAGGAAGGUCCCCCACAUUGGAACUGAGACACGGUCCAAACUCCUACGGGAGGCAGCAGUGAGGAAUAUUGGUCAAUGGGCGAGAGCCUGAACCAGCCAAGUAGCGUGCAGGAAGACGGCCCUAUGGGUUGUAAACUGCUUUUAUAAGGGAAUAAAGUGAGAGUCGUGACUCUUUUUGUAUGUACCUUAUGAAUAAGGACCGGCUAAUUCCGUG
rnacentral:rRNA from 1 species